AUUGAACGCUGGCGGCAUGCCUUACACAUGCAAGUCGAACGGUAACAGGUCUUCGGAUGCUGACGAGUGGCGAACGGGUGAGUGAUGCAUCGGAACGUGCCCAGUCGUGGGGGAUAACGCAGCGAAAGCUGUGCUAAUACCGCAUACGAUCUGCGGAUGAAAGCGGGGGACCUUCGGGCCUCGCGCGAUUGGAGCGGCCGAUGUCAGAUUAGGGAGUUGGUGGGGUAAAGGCUCACCAAGCCAACGAUCUGUAGCUGGUCUGAGAGGACGACUAGCCACACUGGGACUGAGACACGGCCCAGACUCCGACGGGAGGCAGCAGUGGGGAAUUGUGGACAAUGGGCGCAAGCCUGAUCCAGCAAUGCCGCGUGCAGGAAGAAGGCCUUCGGGUUGUAAACUGCUUUUGUACGGAGCGAAAAGGCUCCCUCUAAUACAGGGGGCUCAUGACGGUACCGUAAGAAUAAGCACCGGCUAACUCCGUGCCAGCAGCCGCCGUAAAAC
rnacentral:rRNA from 1 species